AGAGACGAAACAAGUGAUGUGGNGUAAAACUUAUAAAAGNGACCUCAGUUCGGAUUGAAGGCUGAAAUUCGCCUUCAUGAAGUCGGAAUUGCUAGUAAUGGCAGGUCAGCAUACUGCCGUGAAUACGUUCCCGGGCCUUGUACACACCGCCCGUCACACCAUGGGAGUCGGAAAUGCCCGAAGUCUGUGACCUAACCGUAAGGAAGGAGCAGCCGAAGGCAGGUCGGAUGACUGGGGUGAAGUCGUAACAAGGUAAC
rnacentral:rRNA from 1 species